rnacentral:misc_RNA from 1 species
CACCACUCAAGCCUGGCUUGGUAUUGGGCGUCGCGGUUCCGCGCGCCUUAAAGUUUCCGGCUGAGCUGUCCGUCUCUAAGCGUUGUGACACAUAUUCGCUUCGGAGCGCGGGCGGUUCUACGGCCGUUAAAUCUUUCUUAA